AGGGGGGUGGGGUGAGGGAGCUGACCCUGCCUCCUGCUGUUUGGUGAUGGCCACACUGGGUGGCCUAGUCACAGAAGUGCUGGAGAGCUCAUCCCAGUGAUGUGCAGGCCGACCAGCCCAGCUACCACCCAGGCCCAGAUCCAGGGCUCUGAGUUGGCCCAUCCCAAAAAUAUAUAUCCUCUGCAAAUGGUUGAGAUGCAUGAGCAGCAGUUCCUGCUGAUCUAAAGCAGCAGGAUCACAAUGACAAGGCGGCAACAGGAUAACCGGGAGCUCCGAUGAGGAUCCAGUAUUGAGGGUGCUGUUGAAGGCAGAGACCUCGAACUAGACUAAUGACUCAUUGCAACGAAUGUUUGCAAGUGAAGACGUGUGGACAGAGGGGGUGCACUGUGGGACACACUGUUCUUCGAUGAGUUUUUUUUAACGUUUUGUUUGUUUUAGGGGUGAAGCAGCAAGGGCAAAGGGUGGAUAUGAGAAGAUUUGGGGAGAUGAGCAGAACUGGGGUGCAUGAUGCGAAACUCACAAUCAAUAAAAAGUUAAAACGAGGGACUAAACCACCAACCAGUCAUGGGUGGUGAUAAAGAUGUUAUUGCAGGACUAGGGUCCACACAAAGACAUGUGCUGCAUGGCAUGUCCCUCCAAAUUGAAACAUUUCUCCAGGAGGAAAGAAGAGACUCUUGCCUGGGAGAACAACAACAACAACAACAACAACAACAACAAAAAAAAAAAAAGGGAAGGUUCUUGAAGACCCCUACCUAACAGGAUAAAAACAACCCUAAGCAGAAAGAGAGAUGCUCUAAAACUAUAUUACAGAGCUAUGGUAACAAGAACAGCAUGGCUCCGGCACAAAAACAGACAUACAGAGCAUCAGAAUAGAAAGAAGGACCCAGAAAUGAAUGUACACGGCUGCAACCACCUAAUUUUUUGACAAUAUAUAUAUAUAUAUGUAUAUAUAUAUAUAUCCCACGCCACAAAUACACACAAGAUAAAUACAUCUUAAUAUAUUUACAUACAAACGCAUAUACAUAGGACAAGGACAUCCUGCUGAACAGCGAUGCAAAAACUAGAUAGCACGUGUGAAAGAAUAAAACUCGAUCCACACAUGUGAGGCUGCACAAAAGUUAGUCAAAUAGGAAGACCAGGAAAAGUGCUUCGAAAGGAUUAGGUAAGGAUUUUCUACAAAGGAUUUCAAUAAGAGGGAAAAUCAUCCCAAGAACUGACAAACGGUGUUACAUGAUGUUAAAAGUGUAUGCGUGGCAAAGGAAAAGCUUACCAGGGUGAAACUUGGAAGUAGGAUAGAGAAAAAUCUGAUGAAGGAUUACCAUCUAAAUAUAAAAGGAACUGCAAUAAAUUAAACACCAAAACAAAAAUAGUUUUGAGAGGGUAGUAGAGACAGAGGCAGAGAGAAAGAGAGGAGAGAGAGAGAGAGAGUAGUAAAGGAGUAGAGGCUAGCCAUGAGCACGUGGAAAAAGAGGGGAAGGGGAAGGGGAGUAGGGAAGGAGAGGGAGCAGGAUCAAGAGGACAGAGCAAGUGCAAGAAAGCAAGAGAGUGAGGAGAGGGGUCAAACAGCCCCUUUUAUAGAGAGCCAGGCACACCUGACUGUUGCCAGGCAACUGUGGGGCGGAGCUUAGACAGAAUGCUAACACAGUCAAAAUGCUUAUCCAGAAAACAAGCAACAGCAAAUGCUGGUGAGGGUGUGGAAAUGGAAACCGAAACUAUAGCAUUUACAGAAAAGAGGCUGGAACAGGAGAUCGCUACGGUGAAUGCGAAAGGUGCAGCUGGUCAGGAUCCAGUACUGCGAAGGUGGGUGAGACACCCGGAACACCGCCAUUGCGCACCUCGUUCUCAGGGCAGAGAGGGUGGAAGGCAAAACCGCAGACCCCCGCCCUUCUGAACACCG